AGGAGCGGAGGGAGAAGUAGGUUGCGAGCUCAGCACAGGCUCCGGCGCUGGCUCCCGCAGCUGAGUUUGGGAGAUGUCUAAGUGAUUUUUUUUUUUUCCCGGAAGGCAAAUGGCUGGCGUGGAAGCACAACCCGCUUUCACUCUUCGAAUUUGUGCUUAGCUCUUUUCUUGUACCUUGCGACUCGUGACCAACAUGCUGUGAUGUGUGCCGAGGGAGGAAUUGGUCAGCUACACAACCUGGAUCUUACCACAGUUUGGAUAUGACUGAGGCUCUCCAAUGGGCCAGAUAUCACUGGCGACGGCUGAUCAGAGGUGCAACCAGGGAUGAUGAUUCAGGGCCAUACAACUAUUCCUCGUUGCUCGCCUGUGGGCGCAAGUCCUCUCAGACCCCUAAACUGUCAGGAAGGCACCGGAUUGUUGUUCCCCACAUCCAGCCCUUCAAGGAUGAGUAUGAGAAGUUCUCCGGAGCCUAUGUGAACAAUCGAAUACGAACAACAAAGUACACACUUCUGAAUUUUGUGCCAAGAAAUUUAUUUGAACAAUUUCACAGGUACUGUUUUAUUUUU
rnacentral:lncRNA from 1 species